rnacentral:misc_RNA from 1 species
CAAUCUCGCUGCUGAUAUGGGAGGCAUGGGCUUCAUACAGUCCAAUCAUUCGGUGAUCAUGUACAACAACACUAUGAUCAGUUUCAACAUGCUUGAAGCUGCAAGGAUAAAUGGAGUCAAGAGAUUCUUCUAUGCAUCUAGUGCAUGCAUCUAUCCCGAGUUCAAGCAACUGGAGACAAAUGUCAGCUUAAAAGAGUCUGAUGCAUGGCCUGCCGAGCCUCAAGAUGCUUAUGGCCUUGAGAAGCUUGCUACCGAAGAACUAUGUAAGCACUACACGAAGGAUUUUGGAAUUGAAUGCCGCAUUGGGCGUUUUCAUAAUAUCUAUGGUCCUUUUGGAACAUGGAAAGGUGGAAGGGAGAAGGCUCCUGCUGCUUUCUGUAGAAAGGCUCUAACUUCCGUUGAUAAGUUUGAAAUGUGGGGAGAU